rnacentral:rRNA from 1 species
GACGAACGCUGGCGGCGUGCUUAACACAUGCAAGUCGAACGGAAAGGCCCUGCUUGCAGGGUACUCGAGUGGCGAACGGGUGAGUAACACGUGGGUGAUCUGCCCUGCACUUCGGGAUAAGCCUGGGAAACUGGGUCUAAUACCGGAUAGGAGCCAUUUUUAGUGUGAUGGUUGGAAAGUUUUUUCGGUGUAGGAUGAGCUCGCGGCCUAUCAGCUUGUUGGUGGGGUAAUGGCCUACCAAGGCGGCGACGGGUAGCCGGCCUGAGAGGGUGGACGGCCACAUUGGGACUGAGUUACGGCCCAGACUCCUACGGGAGGCAGCAGUGGGGAAUAUUGCACAAUGGGCGCAAGCCUGAUGCAGCGACGCCGCGUGGGGGAUGACGGCCUUCGGGUUGUAAACUCCUUUCGCUAGGGACGAAGCUUUUUGUGACGGUACCUAGAUAAGAAGCACCGGCUAACUACGUG